rnacentral:rRNA from 1 species
GACGUAGGGCGCGAGCGUUGUCCGGAUUUAUUGGGCGUAAAGAGCUCGUUAGGCGGCUUGUUGCGUCAGCUGUGAAAACCCGCAGCUCAACUGUGGGCUUGCAGCUGAUACGGGCAGGCUUGAGUUCGGUAGGGGAGACUGGAAUUCCUGGAUGUAGCGGUGAAAAUGCGCAGAUAGUCAGGAGGAACACCGGUGGCGAAGGCGGGUCUCUGGGGCCGAUACUGACGCUGAGGAGCGAAAGCGUGGGGAGCGAACAGG